GACGAACGCUGGCGGCGUGCUUAACACAUGCAAGUCGAACGGUAAGGCCUUUCGGGGUACACGAGUGGCGAACGGGUGAGUAACACGUGGGUGAUCUGCCCUGCACUUCGGGAUAAGCCCGGGAAACUGGGUCUAAUACCGGAUAGGACUGCGCGGUGCAUGCCGUGUGGUGGAAAGAUUUAUCGGUGCAGGAUGGGCCCGCGGCCUAUCAGCUUGUUGGUGGGGUAAUGGCCUACCAAGGCGACGACGGGUAGCCGGCCUGAGAGGGCGACCGGCCACACUGGCACUGAGACACGGCCCAGACUCCUCCGGGAGGCAGCAGUCGAGAAUAUUCCACAAUGGGCUCAAGCCUGAUGCACCGACGCCGCGUGAGGAAUGACGGCCUUCGGGUUGUAAACCUCUUUCAGCAGGGACGAAGCGUGAGUGACGGUACCUGCAGAAGAAGCACCGGCCAACUACGUG
rnacentral:rRNA from 1 species